UCUUAUGAGGUGGGUGGGGGUGAAUAACCAGUGAUCAGUAAGGGUGGCCCUGAUCUAAACAUCUGAUCUUUUCUCUGCCCUUGUCCUCUUCUUCCUCCUCCUCCUCUUCCAACUCUUUCUCCAUGAACUUGUCCUGAGGUACAUCCCAUGUCCCUUAUUUGAUAGCUCCUCGACUCUGUCCUCGGCUGAACCGGAAGUUGUUCUGUCCCUCCUCAGUGAAGGCCGUCUCAAAGCUCUUAUUUCUGUCCUGAGGGCCGAGGAGCGAGCUUCGAGGAGGGAACACCUCGGAGACAUAGCCGGUAUCAGCCUUCCCUGAAGUUGUGCAGAUCUCUCCCGUGACUCCUCGGUGGGAGGGACUAAGACGCGAGGAAGGGAGGCAAGUGGAGGACUCGAGGAGGCAAUUUAAGCAACAUGAGAUGCAGCUCUGGUUGUCGUCCCCUGCCUCUCCCUCCUACUCCCCUUGCUCUCUGUCUAUUGUCGGCAUCCACUGUUCGAAGCAGGGACUAAGGAACAAACGGAGACGUUCAUACGUCUACGUGUAGGCAGCAAGCAGCUGUUUACCAGGGGGAGGGACACCACUGCGAACGGAUAUCGGCUUAUUUUGGAGAUGAUGGGGAUCGGAGGGAGGGUCUCCCACACCCAGGCCAAGAAGAAGUGGGACAACCUAAAAACGAAGUGGGAGAUAUUGAGAUAUUGCAGGAGUCCCUGCCUUAUUGCCUCGAUCCAAGGGGACAAACCAGGGCCAAGCGCCGCACAAGAGGUAGAGGAAGGGAUUGAUGAGGAGGAGGAGGAGGAGGAGGAGGAGGAGGACAAGGGAGAGAGUGGAUCCAUUCCUUCAACUCAUCAAGGACGACAUAAAAUAUCAGGGAGAGGCAGAUGAGAGGAGGGAAGCAGAGGCCGAGGUCAAAA